rnacentral:rRNA from 1 species
UACAGAGGUCUCAAGCGUUGUUCGGAUUCAUUGGGCGUAAAGGGUGCGUAGGCGGCGCCGUAAGUCGGGCGUGAAAUUUCGGAGCUUAACUCCGAAACUGCAUUCGAUACUGCGGUGCUUGAGGACUGGAGAGGAGACUGGAAUUCAUGGUGUAGCAGUGAAAUGUGUAGAGAUCAUGAGGAAGACCAGUGGCGAAGGCGGGUCUCUGGACAGUUCCUGACACUGAGGCACGAAGGCCAGGGGAGCAAACGGG